UACAGAGGGUGCAAGCGUUAAUCGGAAUUACUGGGCGUAAAGCGCGCGUAGGUGGUCUGUUAAGUUGGAUGUGAAAGCCCCGGGCUCAACCUGGGAACUGCAUUCAAAACUGACAAGCUAGAGUAUGGUAGAGGGUGGUGGAAUUCCACGUGUAGCAGUGAAAUGCGUAGAGAUGUGGAGGAACACCAAUGGCGAAGGCAGCCCCCUGGGUCGAUACUGACGCUCAUGCACGAAAGCGUGGGUAGCAAACAGG
rnacentral:rRNA from 1 species